UUAGUUUCGUCGAAGAAGGAAAGCGAAAGCUUUGAAAGGCAGUUUUCGCGUCAAAUGUGCUAGUGACAAAUUUGUAUUGUAGUCGCCUCGCUUCCUUUACUCUUCAGUUUGUGCUGCCGUGUGGAAUAAGUUGCGGUACAGAUAUAUUUCUCUGAACGACAGGUGAUGGUAAAAGUCGCUAUUGACAGACCUCGGAUUUCAACUUCUCUGAAGGAGAACUUUAGCGAGGAUCGACAAAGCUACGUCUGACAAAUUCUCAAAAAGUAGAAUUUAUAGUCCAUCCAGCCAGCGCGCAGCGGUGGGACCUCGGGUCAAAAGCAUGUAACUUGGUCAUGUUCGAUCCAGAGACGCGCGUCGAUCCAUCAUCGAGAGUAGCAGAAGUGUCUGGCGGUAUCUGAGAUACGUCAAAGCCCCAAAGUUUCGCUCGUGCACUUCGUCGUACCGAAGAGAGAAGACCAUAUGGUCGCCGGCGGCACAGGUCAUUAUUUUCUAGCAGGAUUGCUCAGAAGAGGGAUCCAAAGGAAGGGGAGCAUGGAAAGGGGAGAUCGGAGCCCAUCACGAAAUUACUCGAAAAUUACUCGGCGCACCUCGCUCGGCUUUUCGUUUUUCGGGGAUAAUUUUAUGAUCGGGGAUUUUUAAUUUGAAUUUCAAUACAGAGCGGGGCACACACGAUCCUUCUCGGUGCCCAAUUCUUCCUGGAACGCGAUACUGGCUGCCAAUCGAUAAAAGUAUCGAUUUGCCCGAUGGAUGUUAAGAUAAAUCUGUCUGCCCGUGUGCCAUAUGUCGACUUGAUUCUGGAAAGCGUUUUCCGAUUUCUCGCGUGCAACAGAUGGCCGGGUGGGGCAGUCCGUUCUUCUC